rnacentral:lncRNA from 1 species
UAUAUAGGGCUAUUAAUUAGUAUAUAUAAAUCUCUUUGUACUUAUGAGUUUUCGGCCGUUGGCCGAAGGAAUGUAUAGUUAGGAUGAUAGUGUGUCUUAAAUUAGGAUGAUAGCGGUCUCCUAAAAUUGAGUGAGUAAUUGGUUGUAUAGUAAAAUCUAACGGAUAAAAAUAAUCAAAAAGAUAGAUUUAACGGUCGAAAAUUUACGAGUACAAAAGAAUUUAUAUUCAUAAAAAUAUAAUAGUUAAAAUG